AUUGAACGCUGGCGGCAGGCCUAACACAUGCAAGUCGAGCGAGCGGCGGACGGGUGAGUACUGUAUGGGGACUGCCUGAUAGAGGGGGAUAACUACUGGAAACGGUAGCUACUCCCGCAUACUAUCGGAUAACCCAUAUGGGAUUAGCUAGUAGGUGAGGUACUGGCUCACCUAGGCGACGAUCCCUAGCUGGUCUGAGAGGAUGAUCAGCCACACGGGGACUGAGACACGGCUCCGACUCCGACGGAGGCAGCAGUGGGGAAUAUUGCACAAUGGGCGCAAGCCUGAUGCAGCCAUGCCGCGUGUAUGAAGAAGGCCCUAGGGUUGUAAAGUACUUUCAGUCGGGAGGCGUUACCGACAGAAGAAGCACCGACUAACUCCGUGCCAGCAGCCGCGGUAAUAC
rnacentral:rRNA from 1 species